rnacentral:rRNA from 1 species
GCGCACCAGGCGAGAAUCCUCCACAAUGGACGAAAGUCUGAUGGAGCGACGCCGCGUGCGGGAUGAAGGCCUUAUGGGUUGUAAACCGCUGUCAGGGGGGAAGAACAUCGGAAUGAACAAUACUCAUUCCGACUGACGUUACCCCCAGAGGAAGCUCCGGCCAACUCCGUGCCAGCAGCCGCGGUAAUACGGGGGGAGCAAGCGUUGUCCGGAAUUAUUGGGCUAAAGGGCGUGUAGGCGGCGAGGUAAGUCGAAUGUGAAAUCUCACGGCUCAACCGUGAAACUGCGUUCGAAACUACCCUGCUUGAGUACGGGAGAGGUGUACGGAAUUCCUGGUGUAGCGGUGGAAUGCGUAGAUAUCAGGAAGAACACCGGUGG